AUGGAGGUUGGUGGUGCGGCGAAAGAGUUUUAGUUUUUUUGUGAGCAUUUCAUUGAGUUCGUCGAAGAAUCGGAUAUUUUCUGAGAUCUUGAUCAAGAUGGGGAGGGAUCAUGAUGGAAGCUCAUGGUGUGGUGCCAUCAAUUGCAGCACUUACAAAAAACGCAAUCCUGAGCUGAAGUUCCACAGGUUUCCUAAAGAUGCUGAAAGAUGCAAAAAAUGGGUGCAAAAUUGCAGAAGAGAGGACCUGAGAAACAAGAGUACAGAGUAUUUGUACAAGAAUGUUUA